AUGGCGGCGGCGGACGCGUUCGUGAGAGCCCGCGGCAGGACUCUGACCGCCUUCCGCCCAGAUGCUGAGUACCAAUGGAAGGGGCCCUUCUACUUCAUCCUGGGAGCAGAUCCUCAGUUUGGACUGAUGAAAUCUUGGGCACAUGGAGACACUGAGAAUGGAGAUGAUGAAUGGGGAGAAGAAAUUAAAUUAGCAGAGCAAGCAGUACAGGCCAUUAACAAACUAAACCCUAAACCCAAGUUUUUUGUGCUAUGUGGAGACCUUGUACAUGGAAUGCCAGGAACUCGAUGGAAAAAAAGCCAAGAGCAAGAUUUAAAGGAUGUUCUGAAGAACACUGACCAGGACAUACCACUGGUAUUCGUCAGUGGGAAUCAUGAUAUUGGCAAUACUCCAACGAGAGAGACCAUAGAUGAUUAUUGCAAGAACUGGGGAGAUGACUACUUCAGCUUUUGGGUUGGAGGUGUUUUUUUUCUUGUGUUGAAUUCUCAGCUAUACUUUGAUUCCUCCAAAUGCCGUGAGUUAAGGCAAGCCCAGGAUGCCUGGCUUGAUGAGCAGCUGGCUGCUGCUGCAAACCAGAAAUGCAAGCAUAUAAUUGUAUUUCAGCACAUCCCUCUGUUUCUGAGCAAACCUGAUGAAGACGACGAUUAUUUCAACUUGGAUAAAUCAGUUCGUCAGGAGAUAAUGGAAAAGUUUCAUAAAGCAGGCAUUACAGCUGUGUUUUCUGGGCAUUACCAUAGGAAUGCUGGAGGGUCCUACAAAGGCCUGGAAAUGGUGGUGUCAUCAGCCAUAGGAUGUCAGCUGGGACAGGAUACACAUGGCCUUCGAGUGGUGGUUGUGACAGAGGAGAAGGUGGUGCACAAAUACUACAGCCUAACUGAACUGGGCAGCCACGGCAUAGAGAAGGAGCUGCUGGAUAUGCUUGCUAAGCAAAAGCUGCUAAAAGGAUGAGAUAAACCUCAAUGACUGUUAUUAAAUGGGGAAAAUUCACAUUAGAACACCAGAGCAACCUGUGAAGGAGACCCAUUAAAGCCUCAUCCUAUUUAAAUUUAUAAUGUUGUUAUGUCACUUUUGGGCAGCCAGAAAUUGAAACAUCCAUCUUCAAAAUAUAUCCUUAUCUUUCUCAAACAUUGCUUAGAAAGGUCUAGCAUUGUUAAAAACCACAAUUUGGCCUUUUAAAUUAACUGGUAAUGGCAUUAUCUGUAUUCAAAUCUUUCUCACCUUCUUCCAUAUAAAAAAGACACAGCAAUACAGAAAGGUAGCUCAUACUGCUCUAACAAACCAAGAUGCACAGCCCUACACAAGGCAGCCUGCCUGUGCAGGGAUUCCCUCAGUCGUGUCACCAGCUCUCCAGGUAGGACACCAGUGGACUGUAUUUGGAUCCAUGUGAGACAAAGAUAAAUCUACCACAGCAGAAUGUGGUUCUUGCAGUACCCUGCAAGUACUGAAGCUGAGGCUGCUGAAAGAACACAGCACAAAGACAAUUAAUUUCCUGUCACUUUUUUACAAAGCCUGAGCUGAACUUUAGUCUCACUCUUUUAUUUAUUCUAAGUCUUGCUCUGUCUUAGCCAGUGAGGAGAAGGUAGGGCCACCUUACUUAGCUUCAGUUCUGUAAAAGCUGCUUUCCCACUCUGGCCAACCAGAGGCUGUAGCUGGAGACAGGUAACUGCAGCAGGAGAUUCAUUCUGUCCUGCAGCCAGUGCACAAGUCACAGGGACUGAAGCUAAUCCGUGGGAUUCACUUCCCAGGAUUCCUAAAGUAACUCUGGAGUUUGCUUGGGGCAGAAGGCAAGAGGUCAGGGCCUGAGCUGCCACCCCAUAAAAUCAGAAGAUGAAGACGGGUGAGAAAUUAAACAGGAGUGGGAAACAACCCAUCAAAAGCUACUGGCUCCCCUCCUUGGCUGGAGCUGGCACCAUCCUCUCCUGACACUGUGGAGGACAAGGGGACACUCCUGCAGGGUGUUCACUCCUCUGCCUGUGCAGAUACAGCAAUUCAACAUC